rnacentral:lncRNA from 1 species
AAAUAAAUGGCCGUAAUAUUUAUUUUUAUUAUCCCUUUCAGUUGUUAAUUUUAUUAAUUUGAUUUCUAAUUCAAAUCUACUGUGUUAGCCUGUAUGUUUCCUAGAUAUUUUUGUCUCUAGUUUUUCAGAGCAGUGCCUUGCUGACAACCCAUUUCAAACAGUCCAGUAUUCUACCACUACAUCCAUCUUGCAAAAUAAUUACUACAUUCUUGGAAAUAGACUGAACCAUCUGAAUGAACGAUCAAGUGAAACUUGAGGACUGGGUUGGAAAGUAGUGGGGUGAUGACAGAAAAAGGCAGUGGUCUUCCACCUCGAUAAACUCAAACACAAGUAGUUUGCCUGAGGGAUCCCGUGGUGAGUCACUGGUACAGGUCUCCCUGCCCAGGACCCUUUUGGCUACUAAGGAUGUUGCUUCAGUCUUCUUGGGAUCGCCCAGGUCUGUGAGUUGCAGUUGAUACAAAAAAAAAAGUAGUGUUUAAAACAGUUGCUUAAAAAAAAUCA